UACGGUUAUAUCACGUUGAAACGCUGGUUUCCGUAAGAACACUGAGGUUAAGCAGCGUCAAGACAGCGUUAUUACCUAGACGGGUUACCGCUUGGGAAUACCAGGUGUUGUAAG